UACGUAGGGUGCAAGCGUUGUCCGGAAUUACUGGGCGUAAAGAGCUUGUAGGUGGUUUGUCGCGUUGUUCGUGAAAUCUCACGGCUUAACUGUGAGCGUGCGGGCGAUACGGGCAGACUAGAGUACUGCAGGGGAGACUGGAAUUCCUGGUGUAGCGGUGGAAUGCGCAGAUAUCAGGAGGAACACCGGUGGCGAAGGCGGGUCUCUGGGCAGUAACUGACGCUGAGAAGCGAAAGCGUGGGGAGCGAACAGG
rnacentral:rRNA from 1 species